UCACUGUCCGAGUUGUAGAUGAGGAGUAGUCCGUCUGGACUGCAUGGCGUCCAAGUACAAUAGGCCGUCAGUGGGACAUCAUAGAGGGUGACAAUCCCGUCCUUGACGCCAAUGUGCAAGUCUAUUACGAUGGCUAUCUCAGAGAGUCGAGCAGUUUGGGAUUUGCUGCUUAAACAUGGGAGGUAGAUUCCUUCUAAAGCUAAAUACAGGCGAGAGACCGAUAGAGAACAAGUACCGCAAGGGAAAGAUGAAAUAGCACUCUGUGAAGGGAGUCAAAAGGCGUGAAAUUGUUGCGAGAGAAGCGAUUCAAGUCAGCGUAGCUAGGCCCAUCAAGCGUCUUCGCUUUGGACUAGCUUUGCCAGCGGUCUUGUCCCUUAAAGAGACUUGACUUGUAAUAUGUCCAGCCUGGCGUGCACAGGCAGCCCCUUCUGGGGGCCAGUGACAUGGCUGGUGGAAUGGCUUGCAAUCGACCCGUCUUGAAACACGGACCAAGGAGUCUAACAUGUAUGCGAGUAUAAGGGUGGCAAACCCGUAUGCGCAAUGAAAGUGAUUUU
rnacentral:rRNA from 1 species